CCAGAAGGCGUUUGAUAAAGUUCCACACUACAAGUUGCUUCAAAAAAUCAAGGAAAUAGGUAUCGGGGGUAAACUUCACGAAUGGAUCAAGCACUGGCUAAGCAAUAGAAAGCAAAGAGUUGUAAUAAAUAAGUGACCCCUGAGUGGAUGCCAGUCACUAGUGGUGUCCCCCAAGGCUCUGUCCUGGGACCCAUUCUCUUCGUCAUUUACAUCAACGACAUUGACCUUGGUCUCAAUAAUUUCAUAUACGUCUUCUCCUAUUAUUCUCGUCUAUUUUACCAUUACAGUACAAACUCACUAUGCACACCUCCUUAUUGUUUGGCAUCUUCAGAAAAUCAUAUGCGUGUUAAUUCAAAGGCCUCGGUAUUUUCUUUCCUUUCCUCAAAACCUGCGCGAAAUGCCUAUUUAUUAUUUAUUGAAAUUAAUAACAUAUUACAGAUAUUCAUAUCUCUUGGUGUAAUGAAAGUAAAAGGUUGACAAAACAUUGUCCGAAAAAAAAUAUUCAGCCAUUUUUUUCAAGAGCAAAAUUUCUCGAUUGAUCACGAUGCUGUGAUCUAGCGACAUACUCAGACGUUUUGUUAAUAAUUAAAUGUUCCCUAGAUGACCUGGUGCACUGCACGCGGCUGGUUGGUGCGCAGUGGGCUGUAAUACAUGUCGACCUUCUAUCCACUGCGGAGGCUGCCUUCUCACUGCUGCCCCCUGACACUCUCAAGAAGAUUUGGGUGAUCGGUGGCGCCGCUGGAACGUCAACCAUCGACGACUUGGCGGCCCACGAUCCUUUGCCACCCGUGACCCAGAAUGAUGACGUGGACCCGGCCUCGACUGUGUGUCAAAUCCCUUUCUCCUCCGGUACAACUGGCCUACGCAAGGGAGUGAUGACCUCGCACCGCAGUGAAGUCUCCAGAAUGAUGAUGAUCAAGCACUUGGCGAACCACAAGCAGUGGCUCGGUCAGCCCGAAGACUACUCCACUUGUAUGCUGGUGACUUCCCUGAGCCACACUUACGCACACGUGUUUCUCUUCGCUACUUUAAUGCUUGGCGGGACAUCUGUCAUUGCGCGUCAUUCAGACAAUCUGUUGGAAAUGAUAAAUGAACAUAAUGUGACGCUUGCUGUCUUGCAUCCAUGUCACCUUAAAAUGAUGAUAAACUCAGCCGCGUCGCAUGACAACAAACCUACAUCUCUGAAGACCGUCACCACAGCCGCGGCCCACCUUGCUGCUUCCGUUGCUGAAGCCUUCAG